AUUGAACGCUGGCGGCAGGCCUAACACAUGCAAGUCGAGCGGAGCGGCUGGCGGGUGAGUAAUGCCUAGGAAUCUGCCUGGUAGUGGGGGAUAACGUCCGGAUACGGGCGCUAAUACCGCAUACUAUCAGAUGAGCCUAGGUGGGAUUGGCUCGUUGGUGGGGUAAGGGCCUACCAAGGCGACGAGCCGUAACUGGUCUGAGAGGAGGAUCAGUCACACUGGAACUGAGACACGGUCCAGAGUCCUACGGGAGGCAGCAGUGGGGAAUAUUGGACAAUGGGCGAAAGCCUGAUCCAGCCAUGCCGCGUGUGUGAAGAAGGUCUGCGGAUUGUAAAGCAGUUUAAGUUGGGAGGCGUUACCAACAGAAUAAGCACCGGCUAACUUCGUGCCAGCAGCCGCGGUAAUAC
rnacentral:rRNA from 1 species